AAACAGAAAAAUCAAAGAAAUCCGAUUUGCCUUUUCUAUUUGAUAUACAAAAACGAAACAAUCGCCUAAAAAAAAAAAAAAAAAAAAAAAAG
rnacentral:ribozyme from 1 species